rnacentral:lncRNA from 1 species
ACAAAUCUGCCGUACUCCGAUAGCCAUAUCGGAGUACGACAGCGUCUUGAUGCCCCACGUAAAACACAUAAGAGCCCGACCCUCGCCCCCAUCUUACCUCCAUUCCCGGCUGGACGUCGGCCCCAUCUUCCGAGGCCUGCUGCACGUGCAGCACAUGGAUGGGAACAUGACAAUUAGCAUCAGGAACAAGAAAGAGGGCAACGGGUAACGAAUCCACAACGAAACACACAAACGUGGCACAGAUGUGGCCCACCACUACCUGCCUACAUCAAACAAAUCUGCCGUACUCCGAUAGCCAUAUCGGAGUACGACAGCGUCUUGAUGCCCCACGUAAAACACAUAAGAGCCCCGACCCUCGCCCCCAUCUUACCUCCAUUCCCGGCUGGACGUUGGCCCCAUCUUCCGAGGCCUGCUGCACGUGCAGCACAUGGAUGGGAACAUGACAAUUAGCAUCAGGAACAAGAAAGAGGGCAACGGGUAACGAUUCCACAACGAAACGCACAACCGUGGCACAGAUGUGGCCCACCACUACCUGCCUACAUUGGGACAUUGGACAUUGAAGCCAUAAUAGCCAAAGCCGUACAUGAGCGGUUAUGUCAGCCAAUUGCAUGGAAACCUCGUCGGUCGUAAUUUUGUUCAGUAAACCUGACAAGGUUUUAAAUGAUUUCGGCCGACUUUCGGAUAUUGUGGCAUGGACCCACUACAUUGGCGGACCUGGUCGACCAGGUCGAUCAACGUCGGCCUCGGGUAACCUUGCCUAUGUACUUAUUUGUUCAUCAACUAUAUUAUACUUUGUGCUGGAACAAUCGGCGUUCCUUUGGGCCAUGACCAUGACUACCAAUGGUCAUGUUACAUCGGAGCACCAAAACAAGUGGCAAACACCCUAAGUAACCUAAAUUUCACUUAUGAUAAGUUCACCGGCUAUAUUCAUGCUUCCCAAUGUGCUUUCGGGGCUGCACGUCAAAAGUAACCUCGUCCAGACAACCGUCCCGUAGCUGCUGAGCCUUGGGCGCUACACGUCUCUGGACUGCCAAAUGGCCGUAGGUAGGGAGCAAAUCGUAAGGACAAAUAAUGCCUCCCUACACUCAUAUUUGAUGGCAAACAUGUUAACUAACCUCGUCAUAACAUUUCACACACUCAGCGCGCAUAUCUGUGCCUAAUUAUGACACUUUCAAGGUUGCACAUUUAUCAAGCUUCUAGCUGGCGAGUAACCUGUCCAGACAACUGCCCCGUAGCUACCGAGCCUGACGAGUUACACGUCUCCGGACUGCCAUAGGGUUGCAUGGUACACAUGCAUACCCUUGUGCAAGGGUACACAUUUAGUGCUAAACAUACCAUACCAUGCAUUCCACCGAUACCGUGAUAGCGAUGAUAAGCAUGUAUCUCACCAGGCGAGAGCAAAUAAAACGUGCCUCUAUGGCGAUGGGGAGUCGAAGGCAACGUUGAGUUAACUCUGCAGUAGCUGGUACAUAGAUUGCACACAUCAUUUACAAAUACAGCUAAUGAUAUUCAGAGCCAUAUUUAACGUCCAGCUACUACAAUGGUAUGAAGACCUCAGGUGUAAGGCUCACACAUGGUUGCGAUCUGCAUGUUGCCAGCUGGCAGCUGCCAACUGCAGUUCUGUGCUCCUGUCUCCCUUAACCGUAUUCUCAUGGCUAUGUCGACUCGAACAUGCUGGCUGACAGUGCGAGGAAUGAUAGAGGCGGAAAACCGGGAGACAGGCUGCCAAGGGCCCUUACACUGCAGUAGAACACAACUCAAGCCAACCGAAUGGCCGCGCGAAAGCGGCCCCUACGGCCACCGCACCGGUGCCGCGCGGCCAACAACACACACACACACACCCAGGAAAAAACGCGCGCGCGACAGACAACACGAGACGCUAGGCCAAAGGACGCCCAACGACCACCACUACCAAACACGAAACGGCGACCCUAACGUGCUAAAGCCCGACCAAGGAGACCGACUGAAACCAAAGCGAAGAGCGCCCUCUCCACGGACUCCCAAGACCACUCAACAAGGCUAAAACGACCCAACUGCAGCCAGAACGGCCUCAAGUCUCUGCUGUCGACCCGCCUGCUGACAAGCCACUCCUCAGCGGGCGUCGUCUACCUGUCCGCCGCUAGCCGAGCCCGGUGCGGAGGUGCCUGAAACUGGUCAGUGAAGAAGGAAAAAAAGAGGGGAGGGGUGAACGAAGAGAUAUCGACCCCGAAGCGAAGGGGGGAAGGUGGGCGGGAAGCUGUCAGCUAUAAGCUGAAGCUCUACUGAGUGAAAGGCAGAAUGCCUGAAACGAAAGAGCUGAAGCAAUUAAUACUCGCCAUUCCAAUACGGUUGUACGACAGUCGCACAGAACCAGACUUAGAGACUCCGAUCGCUUCGCUCCGUCGUAUCUAAGUCAACAAUUUGACCCAGACAAAGCAAACACCAUUACUUAGCGGAUUGGUAAAUACUAGGUCACCCAUGACGACCAUUUUUACGAUUAUCGUGACAAUAUGUAUACAUUUCCCAGCUACAUAGCUGAGAAGACUUUGUGCCUGAAAACCUUAAGACAGCUAGGCACAUGACGUGGCAUGGAUGGAUCAUUCCUUUUCCUGCACAUAGCACCAGAACAUGUAUACAGCUGUACAUGUGUGUAUGCAUGUCGACCACUGAUCUAUUGGUGCAUGAAUUAUGUUCACGUGAGCAUUUAAAUGCAUGGAAAUUUCCAUGCAUGGCCACUGUGAAGACCAUGCAUGACCAACGGGAGGGGUGGAUAAGUCUGCCGCCCAUUGGUGCACAUGCGGUGUAGAUACUCCAGGGGGCUGGGAGCUCCCAGCCCCCUAUGGUGUCUCGAGAGACCAUUUGCACUCCACAAAAACCCUAAGACAUCCCUUCUGAAUAUUGUAUCCAUGCCGCUUAUUGGCUGGUGCUGUCUGUGCUGACUUCAUGACAUGUGCCAAUUUGCUUUUCUGCAUUUGGUUUUCUGCUGACGCAGCAGCAACUGACUCACAAUUGGAGGCCACAAGCACUAUGGCGGCCAAAGGCGGCCACCAGCCCACCACUACCAAGGUGGCGCUCAUUACCACGCUAUCGGGUAUUGCAGGAGUCGCUGUCCUGGUUGCAGUGAUCAUCGUCAGCGUAAAAUUGGCCAGAGCUAGGCGCAAGAUGAGGACAGCACCUGUGAUCAACAUACCAUCACCUGCCCAUCAUGCAGCAGCUCCUGCAUGGACAUAGGCUCUCUCAUACUCACCUAUGUGCUCGGACAAUCAUAACAAAUCACACAUAAGUGCAUACAUCCACUGCAUGCAUCACACACAGGUUUUGGGUAAACAUAAAUGUUUGUGGCGCCAGCAGCGGUAGUAGUAUGUCAUCAUUGCAAAUGUGUACAGUAUGCUCCAUGUAGAUGCAUGCAUAUACAUACACUCUGGGAAAGGUUUUCACCCGUAAAUUCAUGUUUACCCGUAAUCACGUGGUCUUCACAUGUAAUUACCGGCCAAGAAAAUUUGUACACAUGCUUAUUUUUAAGUUGCCAAAGCAUUCCUUUUAUAAGGAAUAACACAGGUGACAUUUUGUUGGUUGCCCGUGCUGGAAGUCAUCCACAGGUUACAUUACCCGUAAUCACAAGGUCUUGACCCGUAAUCCCCCAAGCCGUAAUGCACAGCACCCGUAAAAUUUCACGGGCUUAAUUGCGACGAAGACGUGUUAUGUGUGUGUGUGUGUGUUACAUGGUUGGGGGUGCGUGACCCCAUACCUGUAAGAUUACCCAUACGAGCCGAGGGCCCAAGGGUAAUACUACAACGCCUAAAAGCCACGGAGGAAAGGAAAACACCGCACAUCAGCCCAGACUAGCGUCUAAAGGGGGUAAUUGAGUUUCGGUGAGCCCACAUACGUUCCAAUUUCCUCGCCAGACGUGCGGGUUCCCAUUGCAUGGCCUCCAACAUGCUCUGUUGAUGAUCGAAUCCUUCUUCAGCACGAAUAUCAUUAUAGGCUGGCAUNNNNNNNNNNNNNNNNNNNNNNNNNNNNNNNNNNNNNNNNNNNNNNNNNNNNNNNNNNNNNNNNNNNNNNNNNNNNNNNNNNNNNNNNNNNNNNNNNNNNNNNNNNNNNNNNNNNNNNNNNNNNNNNNNNNNNNNNNNNNNNNGAAACACACAAACGUGGCACAGAUGUGGCCCACCACUACCUGCCUACAUCAAACAAAUCUGCCGUACUCCGAUAGCCAUAUCGGAGUACGACAGCGUCUUGAUGCCCCACGUAAAACACAUAAGAGCCCCGACCCUCGCCCCCAUCUUACCUCCAUUCCCGGCUGGACGUUGGCCCCAUCUUCCGAGGCCUGCUGCACGUGCAGCACAUGGAUGGGAACAUGACAAUUAGCAUCAGGAACAAGAAAGAGGGCAACGGGUAACGAUUCCACAACGAAACGCACAACCGUGGCACAGAUGUGGCCCACCACUACCUGCCUACAUUGGGACAUUGGACAUUGAAGCCAUAAUAGCCAAAGCCGUACAUGAGCGGUUAUGUCAGCCAAUUGCAUGGAAACCUCGUCGGUCGUAAUUUUGUUCAGUAAACCUGACAAGGUUUUAAAUGAUUUCGGCCGACUUUCGGAUAUUGUGGCAUGGACCCACUACAUUGGCGGACCUGGUCGACCAGGUCGAUCAACGUCGGCCUCGGGUAACCUUGCCUAUGUACUUAUUUGUUCAUCAACUAUAUUAUACUUUGUGCUGGAACAAUCGGCGUUCCUUUGGGCCAUGACCAUGACUACCAAUGGUCAUGUUACAUCGGAGCACCAAAACAAGUGGCAAACACCCUAAGUAACCUAAAUUUCACUUAUGAUAAGUUCACCGGCUAUAUUCAUGCUUCCCAAUGUGCUUUCGGGGCUGCACGUCAAAAGUAACCUCGUCCAGACAACCGUCCCGUAGCUGCUGAGCCUUGGGCGCUACACGUCUCUGGACUGCCAAAUGGCCGUAGGUAGGGAGCAAAUCGUAAGGACAAAUAAUGCCUCCCUACACUCAUAUUUGAUGGCAAACAUGUUAACUAACCUCGUCAUAACAUUUCACACACUCAGCGCGCAUAUCUGUGCCUAAUUAUGACACUUUCAAGGUUGCACAUUUAUCAAGCUUCUAGCUGGCGAGUAACCUGUCCAGACAACUGCCCCGUAGCUACCGAGCCUGACGAGUUACACGUCUCCGGACUGCCAUAGGGUUGCAUGGUACACAUGCAUACCCUUGUGCAAGGGUACACAUUUAGUGCUAAACAUACCAUACCAUGCAUUCCACCGAUACCGUGAUAGCGAUGAUAAGCAUGUAUCUCNN